AAGGAUUGGUAGAGGAGCAUCCUUAAGGGGGCGAAGCGUUACCGGAAGGGGGCGUGGACCUUUAAGGAGAGAGAAUGCCGGAAUGAGUAGCGAGAUGAAGGUGGGAAUCCUUCAGGCCGAAUAUCCAAGGUUUCCAGGGUAAAGCUGAUCUGCCCUGGGUAAGUCGGGGCCUAAGGAGAGGCAGAAAUGCGUAUCCGAUGGACAGCAGGUUCAGAUUCCUGCACCCCUUAUGGACAGAACUGCGGGGACACGGGAAGGGAAGCGGAGCCGGGAAUGGAAAGCCCGGUGCAAGCGAAGUAGUUUUGGGAUCGGCAAAUCCGUCCCAUAAAAGACGAAGGCGUGAUGCGGAGCGAAAUGAAGUAGCGAAGCCGCGGCCCCUUGCUGUCGAGAAAAGCCGCUAUGGUUCCAUAAGGGCCCGUACCGUAAACCGACACAGGUGGAUGAGGAGAGGAUCCUAAGGCCGGCGGGAGAAGUGUUGUUAAGGAACUCGGCAAAAUGACUCCGUAACUUCGGGAGAAGGAGUGCUGUGCGAACAGCCGCAGAGAAACGGCCCAAGCAACUGUUUAGCAAAAACACAGGUCUAUGCGAAACCGCAAGGUGAGGUAUAUGGGCUGACGCCUGCCCGGUGCUGGAAGGUUAAGGGGAGGGCUUAGCGCAAGCGAAGGCCUGAACUUAAGCCCCAGUAAACGGCGGCCGUAACUAUAACGGUCCUAAGGUAGCGAAAUUCCUUGUCGGGUAAGUUCCGACCCGCACGAAAGGCGUAAUGAUUUGGGCACUGUCUCAACAACACACCCGGUGAAAUUGAAAUACCAGUGAAGAUGCUGGUUACCCGCGCCAGGACGGAAAGACCCCAUGGAGCUUUACUCCAGCCUGAUACUGGGAUUCGGUAUUGCAUGUACAGGAUAGGUGGGAGGC
rnacentral:rRNA from 1 species